GCUUAACACAUGCAAGUGGAGCGACAGCGGGUCUUUCGGAAUCCCGCCGANCGNCGGACGGUGAGUAAUGCAUAGGAAUCUGCCUGGUAGUGGGGAUAACUCGGGGAAACUCGAGCUAAUGCGGCAUACGUCUUACGGGAGAAAGCGGGGGAUCUUCGGACCUCGCGCUACCAGAUGAGCCUAGGUCGGAUUAGCUAGUUGGUGGGGUAAAGGCUCACCAAGGCGACGAUCCGUAGCUGGUCUGAGAGGAUGAUCAGCCACACUGGAACUGAGACACGGUCCAGACUCCUACGGGAGGCAGCAGUGGGGAAUAUUGGACAAUGGGCGAAAGCCUGAUCCAGCCAUGCCGCGUGUGUGAAGAAGGUCUUCGGAUUGUAAAGCACUUUAAGUUGGGAGGAAGGGCAGUAAGCUAAUACCUUGCUGUUUUGACGUUACCGACAGAAUAAGCACCGGCUAACUUCGUG
rnacentral:rRNA from 1 species